rnacentral:rRNA from 1 species
CGCGUUAUUUUGACCGUGCAAAGGUAGCAUAAUAAUUAGUUUUUUAAUUGGAAGCUGGAAUGAAUGGUUAAACCAGAAAGUUACUGUCUCUAGUUAAUUUUAGUAGAAAUUUAUUUUUAAGUAAAAAAGCUUAAAUUUUGUUUAAAGACAAGAAGACCCCAUAGAGUUUUAUAUUUGAAUAAAAGUUUUAUUUUAUUAAUUUUAUAAUUGAGUUUUAUUUUAAUUAUUUUAUCGAGGUGAUAGAAAGAUUUAAUUAACUCUUAUUUUAUAUAAACAUUUAUUUUUGGUUUUUUGAUCCAGAGUUUUUGAUUAUAAGAUUACAUUACCUUAGGGAUAACAGCGCAAUUUUUUUGGAGAGUUCAUAUCGGUAAAAUAGAUUGCGACCUCGAUGUUGGAUUAAAGAUAAUUUUUGAUGCUGAAGUUAAAAUAUUGAGUCUGUUCGACUUUUAAAACUUUACAAGAUCUGAGGACCUAGCAUUUAAUAUAUUAUUUCUUUAAAUAAUUUUAUUAAUGUUACUUUGGCAGAUUAGUGCGUUAAAUUUGGAAUCUUUUUAUGUAACUUUUACAGGUAAUAUUUGCUUAUAUUAGAUUAUCUUUUAGUUUUUUUUUAGUAUAAUUUUAUUGGUAGUUUUUGUUUUUAGGCUUUUUUUACUUUGUUAUAGCUUAAAGUUUGA